AUUGAACGCUGGCGGCAUGCUUUACACAUGCAAGUCGAACGGUAACAGGCCGCAAGGUGCUGACGAGUGGCGAACGGGUGAGUAAUGCAUCGGAACGUGCCCAGUCGUGGGGGAUAACGCAGCGAAAGCUGCGCUAAUACCGCAUACGAUCUAUGGAUGAAAGUGGGGGACCGUAAGGCCUCGCGCGAUUGGAGCGGCCGAUGACAGAUUAGGUAGUUGGUGGGGUAAAGGCUCACCAAGCCAACGAUCUGUAGCUGGUCUGAGAGGACGACCAGCCACACUGGGACUGAGACACGGCCCAGACUCCUACGGGAGGCAGCAGUGGGGAAUUUUGGACAAUGGGCGCAAGCCUGAUCCAGCAAUGCCGCGUGCAGGAAGAAGGCCUUCGGGUUGUAAACUGCUUUUGUAUGGAACGAAAAGGCUCUGGUUAAUACCUGGGGCUCAUGACGGUACCGUAAGAAUAAGCACCGGCUAACUACGUGCCAGCCGCCGCCGUAA
rnacentral:rRNA from 1 species